CGAAUUUCGAGCGUCAAAUAAUUAAAAACACUAACUAAAUAUUUGCCGAGAUUUAUUCGGCACACAAUGCUGUGAGCCGCAAAUCUCGCAGUCUUCGGCGUGUUAAUUGUGAAAACUCUAAACAAUUACGAAAUUUCGCAUAAAAAUAGAACCGGGGCGCCACUUGCCGGGCAUCGGAACAAACGAGUCCAUUGCCGGAGUACUUACUUGAUUUUUGUGAAGAUUGUGGUUCAAGACACAUUCCGUCAUGAAAUAAGCCACCAUUGCGUUCCCGCCUAGCGCUGUCACAUGUGCGCGAACAAUCGCCAACACCUCGGUCACAAAGCUGUGGAUGAAACCGCUCAACCCACCCUCCUGCAAGAUUAAUAACACGAACAUAAAACGCCGAUUUUAAACCAAACUUGUGAAACUGGCGCAGUCGGUAGGUCCCUAAGCAAGAAAUUAGCGACUCACUUCUCGAAUCGAAGUUGUUUCCCUAAUAAAAAAGAAGUUCAAAUUGCCUAAAUAGUGCUCGAUUUUCCCGCCAGGGACGUAGGAUAAGGGGGUGAUGUCGACCCCGUGUCGCUCUUUAUACGGCACCUGCAACACUCAAAUAAUGCGACGAAACAAACGGUUUUUGAGUACAUGUCUCUGCUUGACGGUUUGGAUCCUGUUUCUUGAGGGCGACUUCUGGCGUAGCCGCAUACUGUGGGUGUUUAGGUGCGUCUGAGUGACGCUGUUUUCGGGUAUUUGAUCCUCCUCCAAGUUAAAAAUCAUGUCGUCUUCUAAAAAACAAAUUAAACCACAAUAAUUAACCGAAAUAGACCCAACCGUAUCGUUUCGUGAGCGUGUUUUUGCGUUUGAACCUCAUUUUUUGCGGGUCGCCCAACCCCAAAGCCAUCCCUUUAACAAAUCGUGGAUAAUCGUGGUUAAAAAAAAUCGGAGACUACCUAAAACGCAUAGUUGGAUUUCAUCGGUUUCCGGUAAAUCGACCCGGAACUGCAGGUCGCACAAGGCGCACGGGACCAUUCUGCGUAACUUGAAAUAGACACUUUGGAGGAGUCGGUGCAAGUGGACGUCGAAACUGUAAGGGGGUUGAAAUUUCGCGCGGUAGAUUUGGGUAAACAUUUGGAGGUUUUUCACGAUUUCUAGCUCCUCCAAGCCGGGGACGAACUCAGUGUUAACCACGUGGAAGCCGUCAGGGGGGCGCUGCUCCAUUAACAUGUUGACGACAUCGGCGUCCUCGGGAUCAUCAACCUGAAAGAAAUUAAAAAAACGGCCGGGGCACAAUUUUCACUUACUUCCAGCACGCAACAGUCUUUAUUGCCCAGGGAUAAGUCAAUCGAAGUUUGUUCUUCUUCGGAGUCGUCGUCUGACAAAACCCGGCCGUUUUGGCACUCAUCCUACGUAACCAAAAGUCAGUGCUUGGCAAGCGUCAGUUUGGUUAAUUCUUACACUUUUCAAUUGGUAAAUCUCCCGAUUUUUUUUCACCGUUUCGUUCAAAAGCUUCUGCAAGUCGGCUAAUUUUUUUUCGUCGGACGACCGAUCCGACACUAGUUUUGGUAAUACUGGGGUGGGUAAAGGUGUGAGAAAAACGGCCGUGCCGGUCGCAAGUCCCACUAGUGUUUUUUCGCCGAUUGAAAUUCGAAUUUUGAGCCCAAAGAUCGCGUUCAUUCCCUUUAUUUUCAAUUUAUUGAUGAGCAAACGGUGCAGUUCGUAUUCGAGAAAGGGGAGACCGUCGGAAAUCUCCUUGGCGUUCGAUUCGCCCCUCAAAUCUUUCAAUUGCCUGCAAAAACACGUAGGAAAAAACAACACCACGUGUGCCUACAUACCUACAAACAAAUGACUGGAUGAAACAACCGCGCCCGAUAGUCGGCGCCCCAUCCGGGAGCUCAAUCGUCGCAAUUAACACAUCGGGGACUUUCCCCGUCCGGCAAAUCCCGCAUUUUAACACCGUAGCCCUAAUCGGGACAUUAUUGCUAUUGUAGGGUAGGUGGCACAGAGUGCACGAGGGGGUAACGUGCCCAGGGACAACGUCGCGCUCUGGGCUCUCUGGUAACACUUUCUUCUACAAAUUCUCAGUUUAGGACACAUUUCACACGCGCUUUUAUUACAUUCUCUAGUGCCUUUUUGUGCUCUUUUUCGAAGUCGCUGCGGUCGAGAGACGUGCAAAGCAGGUCCUUGUUGUGCUGGCGCGUGAUCAGAGGGAGCCCCCCGAUGCUGUCGCCCAUUUCGCCCGUGUACUGGAAGCCUAUGACGGCCGCGGUGCCGCUCGCGCUCAAAACGCACACAUCCUCGCUGAAAUUGAAUUAAUUCGUGUCGCACCGAUGGCGCGCUAAUUACCAAAUGCUCGUGGUCUCCGAAUAGCCCAACACGGCGUUACAGUUCAAAGCUCUAGCGUGAGAGCGUAUUUCCAUCCGGAUCUCCGACCACCAAGUGUCCCUCGAUUCGGGUUCCUCCAGAUUUGAUAUUCUUUCGAGUAACUUGACCGAACGUGCACUGACUGCGCCUCCUUGAAAAUCAUCAUGAUUGAGUGACUACAACUUGCUGGUUUUUACCCAAUUGUGUGAUAAAACCCUGAGGAUAUUUGGUCAUUGUCAGAAACGGGUAUUCGAGCAUGUCGAAAUUUUCCUGCGGGACUGUGGCUCUUAGAAAGUUGUUUUUGAAUAAAUGGCCGUUGAGGCCGCCGGCCGCCGACCUGUCGCUUCCAGUUAAACUGUUCCCUGGGCAAGGUUUCGAGAAAUGAGUGGGUGGUUCGCUAGUUCUGCUCCACACCACGGAAUAACAUUCAGGGACGUGCCACCUGAUUGAUUAAAUCAUUCACAGCAAGUGGACCUGACCUGACCUGGCUGAUUGCCAGGUCAGUCGCCUAGGUUGCGAAUAAUUUAAUCAGUGCUAGUGACGCCCUUUAGUUAUUUUACUCCGUGCGCUACACUGAUUAGGAUAGGUUAAAGAAUGACUGUCUAGUCUAACGUUGCGACAUAAAAUGCUAAUGUCUUUUGAGUUGAAAUGAGUAUGUUAGUGACCCCAGUCGUGAAACAUUAAACAGUAAAGUAAAUGAUGCAACAGUUAUUUCUGGCAAGCGCAUUAUACUCACUUUUCCUAAAGAAUCCUAUGGUAAGAAAUAAUCAACCAAGAAAAGAAAAAAAACGCUUUAAAAUGAUAUCUAAACCGUGGGGUUUUUAAUCGACUGACUCUAUUGCAAUGACUUGAAAUGGGUUAAAACAAAACCGACCCACCUUUCGGGGUGAUGCUCAGGUCAGAGUCCGACGAUCGUCGGUAGAUGCAAGGUACGCUAUUUAGUUUCGCAGGAGAUUGUACCAUUUUUGUACCAACUGACUCCGCGCGAUGGUGGCCGGGUUCAGGCAGGUGUUCCGGGAUUGGUGAACUAUUGUUCCUAAGAGAAGGGGUUAAGCUCGCAUGCAUAUUAUUGCAAGUGCCUCGAUCAAUUUCUGUAUUGACAGCUGAGGCAGUGUCACACUCGGUUACAUUAUUGUCAUUAGUACAAGUUAAUAUAGUCGAGGAAGGGAACACGGGACAUUUAUUAUCUUUCUUCUGAGCUUUGUCAACCUGAGACGUCGCUAGAAUAUCCUGGACCGUCUCCAUCACGACAUUUCCGAGAGCUGUUCCCAACAGACCGUGUUUCUUAACCGGGUUUUUAUCCUCGUUACGCGGGCGGUGCAAAAACGAGAAUCUUUUCUUAUGCAAUUCGUCAGGUUCGUGCGACUUGCGACGACUCAAAUGCAAAAAACUGAACCUUUUUUUACGCAAUUGUUCACUCGAAUCUAGCGCACUGUCCGAAAAACAGCUCGAUUUGGUAAUCAGUGACGGGUUCGAUUGUCGGAUGUUACUCAUCGACAUGAAGGGCGCCCCAAGGACAGUUUCGCGUUUAUGGGAACAAUCAUCGAGAGAUAUAGCGGUGGAAGAGCGGGGUAAUUUGCCCAAAUUAACGGAACUUAGCGACGGAGUGGGCGAAACCACACUGAAGACGCUUGAUUUUGUUGGGGAGGCUGGGGACAUUGGGGGUGUGUAGGUCCCCACGAUAUUAACUUUUUCUAAUAGUAUUGUUUGCAUGGCUGUUUUAAACAAACCCUUGUGUUUGAUAUCACUAGUUAUGUUCACUGGUGGAAGUAUACUUUCGGAUUUAGGUUCAGUUGGUUCUAACUCGUCUGAUUCUUCAUCAGUUUCGAUUUUAGCAAUGGGGGCGCGCAAAGUUUCUAAAUAAUCCUCGGGGAUAUCUUCCGGGGUCUUGUCAUCUUUUGACACGUCCGGGAAUAGGAAAGGAUUGUCGGGUUCGUCACAUUCUUCCUCUCCAAACGGCAAAGUCGGCAUGGACAUUUGCUUGAUGUAACUUUUAUUUGUAUUGUUUUGUUCCAACAAUUCGACGUUCUUAACGAUGUUACUGACAGUUUCAAAAUUGAUAUCUUUCGAGUCUGAGUUUUCCUCCUCAUCUUCCGAGCUUAAAGACGGCGAACUUGACGACGAAACAAUACUCAGAAGUGGCUCAGACGCGGUUUUUUCCAAAACCGAGACAGUUUCAAUUUCUUCAUUCAUCUCUUCACUUUCGGAAGAAACCGCGUCUUCCAAAAUACACGUCAGACUAUUAUGGGCAUGUAUGACCGACCGGGCCAACAUUUCCGCCAUGACGCUCGAAUCGCUCACUGUCCUUUUGAACUUUAAAUAUCUCUUCUUCUCCGGGACACUCUCCUGGUCAAUUUCUUCCCCGAUCCCGGAGUCCCCCAGCUUCGCUUUCAAGGCAAUCAUUUUUUUCGAUAACAUAUUCUGUGAGGAGUAUUUGAAUUUGCGAAACUUUUGACUAAGCCCGUAACCGGGAGUUCCCCUCAUAUCCUCCUGCUUGAGUAACGUCCGAACCGAGGUGUGAUGCAUCGGCUCGUGCAAAGUCGGGUUAGAUCGCGUCGAUCUAAGCUCAGUUUGGUAGAUAUGUUUCGGCAAAUGUUUGUACCGCGGGUUGUCUAUAUCAAGGGUGGGGAUAAGGGGUUUCGGGUGCGAGGACUGGAGCUCAGGGAGGCGGAAGCUUGCCUGGGAGCCAAGGAAUUUUAAGUAACUCUGUGCACGCCUACAUGCAACAGGACAAAAAAUAUUAUUUUCAAGUUCGUUGCUUAUUUAAUCGGCACCGAGGGGAAAGUUACAUUGAAACACACACGUGAAUUGCGACUCUCCCCUCGGUUGUUGCUAUACUUACUCUUCGUUCAGGAUAGUCGGGUGGGGUGCGUCCAUAAUUCGCGCUAGUGUGACAGCAGUUCCGAUCCCGCGAGCCACAAUUCCCGACUCUCCCUCCAAGUCAAAGCACUGACAGUAGCCAAUAACGGCAUUCCCGCCUAGAUCUAGCGCUUUUACCCCGAUUUUUCGCUGCAACUCCCCCGAUAACUUAAAGAAGAGAGUCUGACGGGCUUCGUUGGAAGCCCGCGGUGUCCGAAUUUUGUCAAUCCAUUGGUAUUCAGGGUCGUCAUUGACUAUGAGUUCCUCGACGAAACCAUGAACCGUUUGAGCAAAAUAUCCAUGCGGGAUGGAUUUGG